rnacentral:lncRNA from 10 species
GAGGCAGGGCUGGGCUUCAGACCAUGGAGUCUGGACCCGGGACCUGGGCUGACAGUUGCAGCAUAACAAGGAUUAGGUGAGAUGCUACAUCAGUGAGGUGACCACUUGUCCUGUUUUGCCUGGACAGUCCCAGUUUACACUUGUAGUCCUAGUAAAGUGAUCAGUGACGCUUCAUUUCAUUCAUAGAUUACAUGGUCAACUUAUGUAUUGAGUAUUCAGGA